UACGAAGGGUGCAAGCGUUAAUCGGAAUUACUGGGCGUAAAGGGUGCGUAGGCGGUUGUUUAAGUCUGUCGUGAAAUCCCCGGGCUCAACCUGGGAAUGGCGAUGGAAGCUGGGCAGCUAGAGUGUGUCAGAGGAUGGUGGAAUUCCAGGUGUAGCAGUGAAAUGCGUAGAUAUCUGGAGGAACACCGAUGGCGAAGGCAGCCCCCUGGGCUAACACUGACGCUCAUGCACGAAAGCGUGGGGAGCAAACAGG
rnacentral:rRNA from 1 species